GUCGAACGAGACCUUCGGGUCUAGUGGCGCACGGGUGCGUAACGCGUAGGCAAUCUACCCGAUACAGGGGAAUAACACGGGGAAACUCGUGCUAAUACCGCGUAAUAAAUGAGAAGGCAUCUUCUUAUUUUAAAAGCUUCGGCGGUAUCGGAAGAGCCUGCGUCCUAUUAGCUAGUUGGUAAGGUAACAGCUUACCAAGGCGACGAUAGGUAGGGGAACUGAGAGGUUGAUCCCCCACACUGGUACUGAGAUACGGACCAGACUCCUACGGGAGGCAGCAGUGAGGAAUAUUGGUCAAUGGACGGAAGUCUGAACCAGCCAUGUCGCGUGUCGGAAGACGGCCCUCUGGGUUGUAAACGGCUUUUCUUUGGGAAGAACACGCUCUUGCGAGAGCAACUGACGGUACCAAAGGAAUAAGCACCGGCUAACUACGUGCCAGCAGCCGCGGUAAUACGUAGGGUGCAAGCGUUGUCCGGAUUUAUUGGGUUUAAAGGGUGCGUAGGCGGCUAUUUAAGUCGUGGGUGAAAGCCCGUCGCUUAACGACGGAAUUGCCUGCGAUACUGGAUAGCUUGAGUAUCGUUAAGGUUGGCGGAAUGGGAGGUGUAGCGGUGAAAUGCAUAGAUACCUUCCAGAACACCGAUUGCGUAGGCAGCUGACUAGGCGAUAACUGACGCUGAGGCACGAAAGCGUGGGGAGCGAACAGGAUUAGAUACCCUGGUAGUCCACGC
rnacentral:rRNA from 1 species